GCGGGUGGAUUGGGGGUGGCGCGGGGUACCCGGUGUCCGGCGGCGAACGGUCCGGGCGCUUUGGUACCACCGAUAGAAGGUAUAAUUACGCUACCGGGUAUAAAUUGACUCUGUGUACCACUGAAUCAUACUGAAUAUUUGUAAUGUGUUCCUUCCCUAAUAGAUGCUCUCUAUGAAUAGAGAGAGUGCCUAUUUACUCUGAAAUACUUGGCACAGUGAGUGGAGUCUGAAGCAUGGAAGAAGUGGCUAUUAUUUUCCCACUGCCUGUGUGCAGCUGUCAUUUCUGAGCAACACGUUCCUCGUUCCUCGCACAUCCCAGCUUCCAACCUUCCUGAUGGUCCGCCCCAGGAUUACAACAAGAAGAGAAUGGCAUGCCACCUCAUUCAGCCAAAACCUUAACACUGUGUGUACAUUCCCCUGGACCUUUUCAUGAAGGAAUGUUUAUACCUGUGGGCAGGCACUAAUGGCAGUGAAAGGCUUGCAUUCACGGGAACAGCAUUUAGCAAUUCAUGGUUGCCAAGGGUGAUGUGCAGUGAAGGCUCAGCCCUCCUUCCUUCCCAUAUCCCAGAUCCUCGGAGAGAGAAGAGGCAGAACAGUUCCUCAAGCCAGCAUGACGCUUUGCUUCAGAGACACUGUAGGAAGGACUGUGCCAUUCUGGCAGAGAUGAAGAACAAUUAUUCUUUCUGUUGUUGA
rnacentral:lncRNA from 1 species